rnacentral:rRNA from 1 species
CCGAUUCGCCCGCCGCGCCCCGCGCCCGUCCCGCCGCCCCCGCCCGCUCCUACGGGAGGCAGCAGUGGGGAAUAUUGGACAAUGGGGGAAACCCUGAUGCAGCGACGCCGCGUGAAGGAAGACGUAUUUCGGUAUGUAAACUUCUAUCAGCAGGGAAGAAAACAGACGGUACCUGACUAAGAAGCCCCGGCUAACUACGUGCCAGCAGCCGCGGUAAUACAAUCCAUAUGACUAG